UGGGGAAUAUUGGACAAUGGGCGAAAGCCUGAUCCAGCCAUGCCGCGUGUGUGAAGAAGGUCUUCGGAUUGUAAAGCACUUUAAGUUGGGAGGAAGGGCAGUAAGCGAAUACCUUGCUGUUUUGACGUUACCGACAGAAUAAGCACCGGCUAACUCUGUGCCAGCAGCCGCGGUAAUACAGAGGGUGCAAGCGUUAAUCGGAAUUACUGGGCGUAAAGCGCGCGUAGGUGGUUCGUUAAGUUGAAUGUGAAAGCCCCGGGCUCAACCUGGGAACAGCAUCAAAAGCUGGCGAGCUAGAGUAGGGCAGAGGGUGGUGGAAUUUCCUGUGUAGCGGUGAAAUGCGUAGAUAUAGGAAGGAACACCAGUGGCGAAGGCGACCACCUGGGCUCAUACUGACACUGAGGUGCGAAAGCGUGGGGAGCAAACAGG
rnacentral:rRNA from 1 species